rnacentral:rRNA from 1 species
AGAGUUUGAUCCUGGCUCAGGAUGAACGCUGGCGGCAUGCCUAAUACAUGCAAGUCGAACGAGAGGAAGGAAAGCUUGCUUUCCUGAAUCUAGUGGCGAACGGGUGAGUAACACGUAGGUAACCUGCCCAUGUGCCCGGGAUAACUUCUGGAAACGGAUGCUAAAACCGGAUAGGUAGCAGACAAGCAUUUGACUGCUAUUAAAGUGGCCUUGGCCAUGAACAUGGAUGGACCUGCGGUGCAUUAGCUAGUUGGUGAGGUAACGGCCCACCAAGGCGACGAUGCAUAGCCGGCCUGAGAGGGCGGACGGCCACAUUGGGACUGAGACACGGCCCAAACUCCUACGGGAGGCAGCAGUAGGGAAUUUUCGUCAAUGGGGGGAACCCUGAACGAGCAAUGCCGCGUGAGUGAGGAAGGUCUUCGGAUCGUAAAGCUCUGUUGUAAGAGAAAAACGGCACUCAUAGGGAAUGAUGAGUGAGUGAUGGUAUCUUACCAGAAAGUCACGGCUAACUACGUGCCAGCAGCCGCGGUAAUACGUAGGUGGCGAGCGUUAUCCGGAAUGAUUGGGCGUAAAGGGUGCGUAGGUGGCAGAUCAAGUCUGGAGUAAAAGGUAUGGGCUCAACCCGUACUGGCUCUGGAAACUGAUCAGCUAGAGAACAGAAGAGGACGGCGGAACUCCAUGUGUAGCGGUAAAAUGCGUAGAUAUAUGGAAGAACACCGGUGGCGAAGGCGGCCGUCUGGUCUGGAUUCUGACACUGAAGCACGAAAGCGUGGGGAGCAAAUAGGAUUAGAUACCCUAGUAGUCCACGCCGUAAACGAUGAGAACUAGGUGUUGGGGGAAUAACUCAGUGCCGCAGUUAACGCAGUAAGUUCUCCGCCUGGGGAGUAUGCACGCAAGUGUGAAACUCAAAGGAAUUGACGGGGGCCCGCACAAGCGGUGGAGUAUGUGGUUUAAUUCGAAGCAACGCGAAGAACCUUACCAGGCCUUGACAUCCCUUGCAGAGGUAUAGAGAUAUAUCCGAGGUUAUCAAGGAGACAGGUGGUGCAUGGUUGUCGUCAGCUCGUGUCGUGAGAUGUUGGGUUAAG